rnacentral:rRNA from 1 species
UACGGGGGGGGCAAGCGUUGUUCGGAAUUACUGGGCGUAAAGGGCUCGUAGGUGGCCAACUAAGUCAGACGUGAAAUCCCCCGGCUUAACCGGGGAACUGCGUCUGAUACUGGAUGGCUUGAGUUCGGGAGAGGGAUGCGGAAUUCCAGGUGUAGCGGUGAAAUGCGUAGAUAUCUGGAGGAACACCGGUGGCGAAGGCGGCAUCCUGGACCGACACUGACGCUGAGGAGCGAAAGCUAGGGGAGCAAACGGG